rnacentral:tRNA from 1 species
GGGCGAGUGGUGGAAUGGUAGACACGCUAGGUUUAGGACCUAGUGGGAGCAAUCCCGUGAAGGUUCAAGUCCUUUCUCGCCCA